UACAGAGGGUGCGAGCGUUAAUCGGAAUUACUGGGCGUAAAGCGUGCGUAGACGGCUAUAUAAGUCGGAUGUGAAAGCCCCGGGCUCAACCUGGGAAUUGCAUUCGAGACUGCAUAGCUAGGGUGCGGAAGAGGGAAGCGGAAUUUCGGGUGUAGCGGUGAAAUGCGUAGAUAUCCGAAGGAACAUCAGUGGCGAAAGCGGCUUCCUGGUCCAGCACCGACGUUCAGGCACGAAAGCGUGGGGAGCAAACAGG
rnacentral:rRNA from 1 species